CGUGUAGGCGGUCAAGUAAGUGGGAUGUGAAACGCCUCGGCUUACCCGAGGACCUGCAUCCCAAACUGCUUGGCUUGAGUAUGGGAGAGGAUGAGGGAAUUCCUGGUGUAGCGGUGAAAUGCGUAGAUAUCAGGAGGAACACCGGUGGCGAAAGCGCUCAUCUGGCCCAAUACUGACGCUGAGGCGCGAAAGCUAGGGGAGCAAACG
rnacentral:rRNA from 1 species